GGGACUUCAGCAGUUAUUCAUUGUUCUUCCAGAGUCACAGCCAUAUUGUUGCUAUGAACAAGUGAAAUUAUGCAUGGAAAGAACGGACAUUUUUCCUUCAUAAAGACCAUAGAGUGUAUUCUUUAUCUUGUAGGUAGGGGCUGGGACAAAUCCUCUAGAAGGAGCUGCACUUGGGAUGUCACUACUGGAAUCUUUUGCAGAAGCUGGGAGUUUGUUGACUAUAGCUACAACACAUCAUGGAGAACUUAAAACCCUUAAAUACAGGUGCUCGGUGCUAACAUGGAACUUUAAUUUGUGACAAAAGACUUACCUCCUCUAACAUCUUGGUGUUACAAUGUACUUGACAGCAAUCAUGCCUUUGAAAGUGCAUGUAUGGAGUUUGACGAAAUGAAGUUGAAACCAACUUAUAGGAUUCUUUGGGGAAUACCAGGUUGUCCUUGUAUCCAUGUGGUAGUUUCUUGAUUAUCUUGGAGUUUCUUACCUGAUGACUGAUAAUAGGAUCGCAUGUUACUUCUUGUGGCGAAAAGAAGAGAAUAAAUACUUCUUACUUGGGCUUAAAAAGAAAAAGAUGAUACCUCUUUGGUCUCUGAUCAAAUUUUGCAGUGUCACAAUCUCAAUGUCACAAAAUAUUCUUCAAAUGCAGUUCCUUUCAUUAUACUCUCUACUGUUAUACUUAAGCAAGUUAUUGAAAACCUAUACACUUUCAAUCAUCGAUAGAUAUUCCUCAGAAAAAUGGUUUUCAUCUCAUCAUGGAAAUAAUACCAAGUAAAACCAUGGUAUACUUUGUAUCAAUCAAUUUUGUACUCCUAUGUUAUUGAAUCACCAUGGAAUUUUGGGAUUUGUAGGAUAACAAUUUAAAGAUAGAAGACCUUUAAAUGUAAGAAGGAAAGAGAUUUUGUUUAGUUGAUAAAUGAAGAAAUGGAGGUAGUUU
rnacentral:lncRNA from 1 species